GUGGGGAAUCUUCCACAAUGGACGAAAGUCUGACGGAGCAACGCCGCGUGAACGAUGACGGCCUUCGGGUUGUAAAGUUCUGUUAUACGGGACGAAUGGUACGACGACCAAUACCCGUCGUAAGUGACGGUACCGUAAGAGAAAGCCACGGCUAACUACGUGCCAGCAGCCGCGGUAAUACGUAGGUGGCAAGCGUUGUCCGGAAUUAUUGGGCGUAAAGGGCGCGCAGGCGGCGUCGUAAGUCGGUCUUAAAAGUGCGUGGCUUAACCCCGUGAGGGGACCGAAACUGCGAUGCUAGAGUAUCGGAGAGGAAAGCGGAAUUCCUAGUGUAGCGGUGAAAUGCGUAGAUAUUAGGAGGAACACCAGUGGCGAAAGCGGCUUUCUGGACGACAACUGACGCUGAGGCGCGAAAGCCAGGGGAGCAAACGGGAUUAGAAACCCCGGUAGUCC
rnacentral:rRNA from 1 species